GCGCCGAGUCCUAACCCCUGGACCGCCAGGGAAGUCCCUGACUGUGUGUGAUUUCAGCACGUAUGCAGUGACCCCCCUUCUCUUUUUCUUCACUUUCCGCAGAACCCAAAAUUUAUUGGGGUAUCCACUGGAUUAGGGCUGCUGUAACACAUGACCACAAACUGGCUGGCUGGAAGAAAAGACAUUUAUUCUCACAGUUCAGGAGGCUGGGAGCCUAAAAUCCAGAGCUCCAUAUUUACCCAUGUGAAAGGGAGCUGCCAACUGCACGUGAAUCUUACGAAAUCUCCAGUGUGGGAAUCAUUGAAGGAUCUUUGAAGAAUCCAGACGGCCCCCUUUCCAGG